GCCUAGGUGGCUCAGUUGGUUGAGCAUCCGACUUUGGCUCAGGUCAUGAUUUAAUAGUUUGUGAGUUUCAGCCCCACCUCAGGCU
rnacentral:tRNA from 1 species